rnacentral:lncRNA from 1 species
AUGGAAUAUGAGUCCAGAUGCUUUAUGGACUUAACAGAUAAUUCUCCCUGGAGUAUUGAAACGGACCCCAGGAGACUAGCCACGGCAUUUUCUUCACUGCAUUCUAAAGACUUUCCUACAUGUCCUCAGGCAUCUGUCACUUCCAGAGACCAUCAGUCAGGCUUUGCCAGCAGAGACGCAGUCCUGGACACAGAAGGUAGCGGGGAGGUCAUUGUGAGGCCAAUUGUCCAAAUAUGGCUGCUCAUUCCUCUGAGUCAGCAAAAUAUAUUAACAACAACAACGAAAAAGAUCUGUGGGAGAGAAAAAUUUCCUGCCACAUAUUCUGGCCCCUUGAUGACCCCAAAGGAGUGUCGUGUGUCCUUUGUGGGGGUCAGGAAGGAUGAGAAAGCAGACCCAGCCCUGGUUCUGCGGCCGUUGGCUCAGCAUCACCGCCAGGGAGCCAUGAAGCCUGUGCUGGGACCUCUGGGGACAGAGCCACACUGGCCUCCCACCUCCCUCCCCCAGAACCAUGGCCAAAACCCCCUCCUGAGGACCAAGACUCCUGCCACCAUCCGGUACCGUCUUGAUCCUUUGGGCCAUAUACACAUACCACACACUACAGUCUGCUGCUCAGUUUUUCUGCCCUAAGUGGACUCACAUUUUCACUUCAAUAAAUUAGUUCAUAGAGAAGUUAACCA